CGCCACUAGUGAGAUUUAUGGAGGUUACAGGUUUUUUGCAGAAGGAUAGUUUAUUCGUAAACAGGAUCGCUGCUUUUUUCUCCAAAACUUGGAAACAUAAAAAGCAUAAUGCGACUCAGUGUCGCACAAUGCCGCAUUGUGCUAAUGCUUAAUUAAAACAUGAAUUAACAUGACUUUGCCGAGUAUUACUCUAAUUCACAAAUGGUUAAACGAACAGAAAAAAUCCUAGCGUUAAAAUAAGUAUGUAUGGUUUAUUAAAACGUUUGUACUCUUUUGYUAAAAUGUAAUAUAUAAGCUAAUAUUGUAUGUACAGAAACUUAAAAUAAAUGAUCAAGUUGUAAAAUAWAUAAAAAAUAGUAUUAUUUAAUAUAAAAAAUCUUUAAUAUGACCCUCUUAUUUAAGAAAAAGGUGGAAAUGUUGUAUCGAAACUGUGGUUUUCAAGGAGAAAGUAAUAGGAUUAUUUAAAUUUGCCAUUUUACGUGUUUCCGUAUAGGAAAAACAGUGAAAAUUUCCACGCAGGGCCAGAAGGAAAAAAUCCGAGUUCAUGACCAUAUGCAACAUAUUCAAUUUUAUUUUCUUUAAUUCWUGAAUACGUUAGUCUAUAAAAAAAUAUAAUUUUAAAAAUAAUACUACAAGUAAGUUUGAAACUUUGUACAAAUGUAUUCUACUCUAUUGCGUCGCGACGAGAAUCGGACGUCACAACAGAAGCGUUUCAAAACGACCGCGCGUUUCUUCGGGUGGGUUCGUGACCAGUUCAUCGAGGUGCCGUUAGCGUCACGGUGUUGUGGGGAACAAGGUUAACGGAAAAGGUUGAUCUGGAGAUUUACGCGAUAGUCGUCAAUUAAAGUAACAAAAAUAUAUAAAUUUAUUAACAAGA